GAUGAAGCCCUUCGGGGUGGAUUAGUGGCGAACGGGUGAGUAACACGUGGGCAAUCUGCCCUUCACUCUGGGACAAGCCCUGGAAACGGGGUCUAAUACCGGAUAACACCGGCUUCCGCAUGGGAGCUGGUUGAAAGCUCCGGCGGUGAAGGAUGAGCCCGCGGCCUAUCAGCUUGUUGGUGGGGUAAUGGCCUACCAAGGCGACGACGGGUAGCCGGCCUGAGAGGGCGACCGGCCACACUGGGACUGAGACACGGCCCAGACUCCUACGGGAGGCAGCAGUGGGGAAUAUUGCACAAUGGGCGAAAGCCUGAUGCAGCGACGCCGCGUGAGGGAUGACGGCCUUCGGGUUGUAAACCUCUUUCAGCAGGGAAGAAGCGAAAGUGACGGUACCUGCAGAAGAAGCGCCGGCUAACUACGUGCCAGCAGCCGCGGUAAUACGUAGGGCGCAAGCGUUGUCCGGAAUUAUUGGGCGUAAAGAGCUCGUAGGCGGCUUGUCACGUCGGGUGUGAAAGCCCGGGGCUUAACCCCGGGUCUGCAUCCGAUACGGGCAGGCUAGAGUGUGGUAGGGGAGAUCGGAAUUCCUGGUGUAGCGGUGAAAUGCGCAGAUAUCAGGAGGAACACCGGUGGCGAAGGCGGAUCUCUGGGCCAUUACUGACGCUGAGGAGCGAAAGCGUGGGGAGCGAACAGGAUUAGAUACCCUGGUAGUCCACGCCGUAAACGUUGGGAACUAGGUGUUGGCGACAUUCCACGUCGUCGGUGCCGCAGC
rnacentral:rRNA from 1 species